UACAAAAUAAAAUAAUAUAUUAAGUCUGCACUUCACUUCUCAUAUAUAAUCACAUGAUGAUGAUAUAGCAGGAGGUUGCUAUGUUGCCGGACAGAGGCUUAUUAUCUGAUCGUUGGUCUUGAUGGGAGACGCAUCC
rfam:Listeria phage LP-030-2, complete genome.